UUGAAAUCUGGCUCCUUCGGGGCCCGAGUUGUAAUUUGUAGAGGAUGCUUCGGGCGUGGCCGCGGUCUAAGUCCCCUGGAACGGGGCGUCGCAGAGGGUGAGAAUCCCGUCUUCGGCCGGCCGGCCCCGCCCGUGUGAAGCUCCUUCGACGAGUCGAGUUGUUUGGGAAUGCAGCUCUAAAUGGGUGGUAAAUUUCAUCUAAAGCUAAAUACUGGUCGGAGACCGAUAGCGCACAAGUAGAGUGAUCGAAAGAUGAAAAGCACUUUGAAAAGAGAGUUAAACAGCAUGUGAAAUUGUUGAAAGGGAAGCGCUUGCGACCAGAGUCGGCCGCGGGGGCUCAGCGGGCACUCGUUGCCCGUGCACUCCCCCGUGGUCGGGCCAGCGUCGGUUUCGACGGCCGGUCAAAGGCCCCCGGAAUGUGUCGCCUCUCGGGGCGUCUUAUAGCCGGGGGUGCAAUGCGGCCAGUCGGGACCGAGGAACGCGCUCCGGCACGGACGCUGGCUUAAUGGUCGUAAGCGACCCGUCUUGAAACACGGACCAA
rnacentral:rRNA from 1 species